UACAGAGGUUCCGAGCGUUGUUCGGAUUCACUGGGCGUAAAGGGUGCGUAGGUGGUGAGGUAAGUCGGAUGUGAAAUCUCCAAGCUCAACUUGGAAAUGGCAUUGGAAACUACCUUGCUGGAGGAUUGGAGGGGGGACUGGAAUUCUCGGUGUAGCAGUGAAAUGCGUAGAUAUCGAGAGGAACACCAGUGGCGAAGGCGAGUCCCUGGACAAAACCUGACACUGAGGCACGAAAGCUAGGGGAGCGAAUGGG
rnacentral:rRNA from 1 species